rnacentral:rRNA from 1 species
UACGAGGGGGGCGAGCGUGUUCGGAAUUAUUGGGCGUAAAGGGUGCGUAGGCGGUUCCGCAAGUCCUGUGUGAAAUCUUCGGGCUCAACUCGAAGUCUGCACGGGAACUGCGGGCUUGAGUGUGGGAGAGGUGAGUGGAAUUCCCGGUGUAGAGGUGAAAUUCGUAGAUAUUGGGAAGAACACCGGUGGCGAAGGCGGCUCACUGGCUCGGUUUCUGACGCUCAGGCGCGACAGCGUGGGGAUCGAAACAGG